UUUUUUUUUUUGAAUGAGAAAACAUUUAUUCCAUCUCCAAACAGCAUCCCAGGGCCGGGCAUCUCCCCUACGACUUUAUAAUACACUCGGCACAGACAGAGUUUGGGAGCCAUGGGACACCUCUGCCCUCCCCAGGCUUCCUAAGUAACAACUGCAGAAUAUUUACAUAAAGCUGGGUGUUGUCAGGCAAAGCCAUUCCCUGCUGCCAGGGGUGGGAGCAAGAAGGAAGUGCCAUGAGCACCAGCCCCGCCUUCACACCGUGGGAGGCAGCCCAGAGGCCACCGGCACAGGGUGGUGGCCCCCAGAUCAUACAGCAGUGGACACAGGGGAAGCAAACCUGAGUGAGGACACAAGAGCCUGGUCCGGCUCCGCUGCACAGGGUAGGUGUGACGGCCCCCACGAGUCUUUGGCAGAGAACGCAGGUAACAGCGGCUCCCACGGCCGGACCCGGGCCGGGGGGAAGCUGAGGCACUUGUCAGUAGCACAUGGGUGCCUGCUGGCUUCUAGCCACUCCAGGCGGGGAUGGGGUCAUUAAAAGCAAGGAAAAACACUAGCUAAAAACCCUUUCCUAAAAGUGCCCUGGAGGAGUGAGCGGCUGACUGAAGCCCUCUGGGCACAGGCACGUGGGGUGUGGCUCGGCCAGCCCCCGCCGGGCUGUAAGGCUCCUUAGCUGUGUGUCAGCUGCACAGGAUGGAACAGAGAAACAUAAUUGAGGUGGAAGGAUCCAGAAGAAAGGAACCAGUGAUGAUGAGGACAGAGGGCUCUCCACGGGAAGGUGGGAGAGAAUUUAGUUCUCUGUGCCGUGAAGAUGGGAUUGGAGCCAUACAUUGGAGAUGAAGAGAGUCCUUCCAUCCAUCUGCUGGACCUGCUGGGCCUCAGGGCUUUCUCUGAAGUGGUAGGGGGAAGAUGUCACAGAGGAAAUGUAAAGAAAAGUCUACCUCGGCAGUCUACAGCGUGGUGGAUAAAAAAAGAGCAGGAAGAGUCUGGCGAGGCGAUCAGCCUGAUGUAGGUGCUGAGUGUCCCUCACAAAGUCCCAGCAUGAAAGGGGUGGCUGAGAGCCGCUGGGUGGGCCCCAAGUCCAUGGUGCUAGAGCGAGGUCAGGCUGAGGCAGGGCUGGAGGUGGUUGCAUGGAUGGCACUACAGGCACUUAGAGGGGUCUAAUCUGGGUCCAUUGGGGGCUAUGCCCCACAAGAGUGGUUCCUGUGCCCACGGGUCCCACCAUGAACCCCCCAGCCCCAGGCCUGAGCUCAUAAGUAAGCAGGGAGUCCAGAAGCCAAGCAGCCAAGGGCGUCCCUGACACCCAAAGCAAUGCCACCACAUACAAGGAUAGCCAGACGGAUCCAAGCUGAGGGCUGGACAGUGCCCACGGAGCCAUUUAAAGUCUUGUGUAUGUCUUUUUUUCCUCGUUUUUAAUUUCAUUUGACACUUAUGUACAAUAAAGUAUUGUGUAUGUCUAAAGCUUAAAUCAGGUGGGCCAUUUCCAUUUUCCUGGGUUCUGUUGGUUUGUUUGCUUUGUUUUCCUGCUGGUAAUAGGUAGUACCUGAGGAAGGCAAGAAAGGAUAUAAAGAAAAUAAGAAACAACACUUUCUCUGCACAUCCAAAUUGUGGCAAGGAUUUUUGCAGAUUGCCACCAGUUCACUGAGAGGAGUCAUUGAAAACAUGGCAUUGAGGACAGAGACUGCCACUUCAGAAUUUUCUACAUCCAACUGCUGAAGCCACUCGAAGAUAUUUCCCUCAGAGAACCAUAACCAGCUUUGGAGAAGAUGCUUCCACAUAGCUUGUUUCACAGCAUCUCAUCUCUCAUUAAAACCUUGUUGAGGGAGCAUUACUGUCUGAGCAAUGGACAUAGCUCUCAUACGAACCUUUUCAGCUAACACCGGAUAAGCCAGCUUUCUGACAGCCUCUUUCACAUCCUUGGUGCACCCUACAAUUUUUGGCAAAGUCUUUGCUGAUGGUGCAAUACAUGAUAACACUGCCUGUCUAAGUUCUGGAUUCAAAUCAAUCAUUUUCGAUCAAAGUAGCAUAUGCAUUAACCACUGGGCAUUCAUCAUCCUUUGGAUCCUGAAGUCGUGAAAGCGCCAGAACUGCCUGUAUUCUCACAUUUGGAAUCUUAUCUUUCAGUCUAAUAAGCAUGGCUUCAUUAAUUUUGUCAAACACACCAUCAUCAAUCUGAGCUUCUUCUGGCAUACUUCUCAAAAGCUUGUUUAUGCAGCUCCUGGUUCUUGAACUAACGUAGGCAUCAGCACAGCUGAUUCUCAUUCAGGAGAAGACAGUGCUGUGCCCAGGGGCCCCUGAGCCAUUGCCCAGCUUUCCAGCUUUCCAGGAAGUCUGCACUGGAGAAGCAUUCAACCUCCUCUGAGCUAACAUUUUCAUGUGCACACGUGAUUAUGAGUGUGAUACAGACAUUAUUUUACUUGUGUAACUAAUUUUUAAAUCAGACUAAUAAAAAAAGUUAUCAGUCUAAA
rnacentral:lncRNA from 1 species